rnacentral:rRNA from 1 species
GAUGAACGCUAGCUACAGGCUUAACACAUGCAAGUCGAGGGCAGCACAGUGUAGCAAUACAUGGGUGGCGACCGGCGCACGGGUGCGUAACGCGUAUCCAACCUUCCCGUUACUCUCGGAUAGCCUUCCGAAAGGGAGAUUAAUACGAGAUGGUGUUGAAAUUCCGCAUGUUAUUUCAACUAAAGAUUCAUCGGUAACGGAUGGGGAUGCGUGACAUUAGGUAGAUGGCGGGGUAACGGCCACCAUGCCCACGAUGUCUAGGGGUUCUGAGAGGAAGGUCCCCCACACUGGAACUGAGACACGGUCCAGACUCCUACGGGAGGCAGCAGUGAGGAAUAUUGGUCAAUGGCCGGAAGGCUGAACCAGCCAAGUAGCGUGAAGGAUGAAGGUUCUAUGGAUUGUAAACUUCUUUUAUACGGGAAUAAAACCUCCCACGUGUGGGAGCUUGUAUGUACCGUAUGAAUAAGCAUCGGCUAACUCCGUG